UACGUAGGGGGCGAGCGUUGUCCGGAAUCAUUGGGCGUAAAGCGCGUGUAGGCGGCCCGGUAAGUCCGCUGUGAAAGUCCAGGGCUCAACCCUGGGAUGCCGGUGGAUACUGUCGGGCUCGAGUCCGGAAGAGGCGAGUGGAAUUCCUGGUGUAGCGGUGGAAUGCGCAGAUAUCAGGAAGAACACCAACGGCGAAGGCAGCUCGCUGGGACGGAACUGACGCUAAGGCGCGAAAGCGUGGGGAGCGAACAGG
rnacentral:rRNA from 1 species